GCGCUCGGCACCUGGGCCCGCCGCGCUGGGACGGCGGCUCCGCACCUGCGGCGGAACCAAUUGGGAAUUCCUAGGCAAUUUUCUCAAUUUCUGCCUCCGCUCCUGCAACAUCUAGUACCAGUGCCACCUACAGGAAUAAUUGCAUUUUCGAGCUGCUUUCAAGUAACUAGAAUUCCGCGUUUGGGAGUUCUGGUAGCUCUGUCGUCUUCCUGGACGCACAGCAGCAAGUCUGACUUCGAAAGGCGUUGUUUUUCUUCGUGACUUUCGUUUGAGACCACGGACCGAUGGAGGUUCGCUCCUCUGUGCCACGGCAGUGGGAGUGACGGAGCUCUUCCCGCGGGAACCCGGGAGACGCAGCCAGCAAAGGCUCGUUGAUGCCCUGCUGCUUUGGACCUCCGAGAUGACCUGGGGUUCUUCUGCAGGUAGGAACAUCUGUGUCAUGCAGAACACAGAACACAGUUGUCCGUCUGGGUGAAAAAGGGCUGCAUUUUCCUUCAAAACCAUGUCUUCCCCUGCAUUACAUAGUCACAAAACAACGAGGAGUUUGAGGUUUUUUUUUUCCCUGAUAGA